CAAAUGAAUUGACGGGGGCCCGCACAAGCGGUGGAGCAUGUGGUUUAAUUCGAUGCAACGCGAAGAACCUUACCUGGUCUUGACAUCCACAGAACUUUCCAGAGAUGGAUUGGUGCCUUCGGGAACUGUGAGACAGGUGCUGCAUGGCUGUCGUCAGCUCGUGUUGUGAAAUGUUGGGUUAAGUCCCGCAACGAGCGCAACCCUUAUCUUUUGUUGCCAGCGGUCCGGCCGGGAACUCAAAGGAGACUGCCAGUGAUAAACUGGAGGAAGGUGGGGAUGACGUCAAGUCAUCAUGGCCC
rnacentral:rRNA from 1 species